AGGAUGAACGCUGGCGGCGUGCCUAAUACAUGCAAGUCGAGCGGUAAGGCCUCUUCGGAGGUACACGAGCGGCGGACGGCUGAGUAACACGUAGGAACGUACCCCAAAGUGAGGGAUAAGCACCAGAAAAUGGUGUCUAAUACCGCAUGUGCUCUAAGGAGUAAAGCUUCGGCGCUUUGGGAACGGCCUGCGCAUGAUUAGCUUGUUGGUGAGGUAAAAAGCUCACCAAGGCGACGAUCAUUAGCUGGUCUGAGAGGAUGAUCAGCCAGACUGGGACUGAGAACGGCCCAGACUCCUACGGAGGCAGCAGUAGGGAAUUUUCCACAAUGGGC
rnacentral:rRNA from 1 species